rnacentral:rRNA from 1 species
CCUACGGGCGGCAGCAGUGAGGAAUAUUGGUCAAUGGGCGCGAGCCUGAACCAGCCAAGUCGCGUGAGGGAGGACGGCCCUACGGGUUGUAAACCUCUUUUGCCGGGGAGCAACGGGCGUCACGUGUGGCGCCACUGAGAGUACCCGGAGAAAAAGCAUCGCCUAACUCCUGGCCAGCAGCCUCGGUAAUACGGAGGUUGCGAGGUUUAUCCGGAUUUAUGGGGUUUAAAGGGGGCGUAGGCGGAUCGUUAAGUGAGUGGUCAAAUUGAGGGGCUCAACCCCUUCCCGCCAUUGAAACUGGCGCUCUUGAGUGGAAGAGAAGUAUGCGGAAUGCGUGGUGUAGCGGUGAAAUGCAUAGAUAUCACGCAGAACCCCGAUUGCGAAGGCAGCAUGCCGGCUUCCGACUGACGCUGAAGCACGAAAGCGUGGGGAUCGAACAGGAUUAGAUACCCGAGUAGUC